AUAGAGCUCGAAGAGACUUGAGAAGACAUGAGUCGCCAUGUGCCAUCUCCUGCACUCGAGCCUAAGCCCAGACUUCCAACACUUGUAGAUGCUUCGAGUGAGAAACAUAGAGUGCAUAUUGAUUUGCACUUCUUCCAUAGCUCUUUCAGACGCGUACCAUCAGCCAUGAUUGAACAAGAUCUGUUGUGUGAAAGCAGAGAAACCUUGCUUUGAUAUACCAAUUGUUAUGGAUCUAUGAUUGUAUGGAGAAAUAUUGUAUUUUUGUUGUGUUUUUAGGUAAUAAAAAUGUGUUCUUUACCGGAGAA